UACGUAGGGGGCUAGCGUUAUCCGGAAUUACUGGGCGUAAAGGGUGCGUAGGUGGUUUCUUAAGUCAGAGGUGAAAGGCUACGGCUCAACCGUAGUAAGCCUUUGAAACUGGGGAACUUGAGUGCAGUAGAGGAGAGUGGAAUUCCUAGUGUAGCGGUGAAAUGCGUAGAUAUUAGGAGGAACACCAGUUGCGAAGGCGGCUCUCUGGACUGUAACUGACACUGAGGCACGAAAGCGUGGGGAGCAAACAGG
rnacentral:rRNA from 1 species